AGUCGUCAUCGUCGGGGUUUAUCAGUAUCGUAUCAUCUUUUUUUGCCAAGACACAUAUCAUUUAUAGAAUUAAUAAAUCAUCAAAGGAAAAUUAUUUUUUGGUUGAUUUUUUUUUUUGAAAAAUAAAGAAUAUUAUAUAUUUAAAUCACAAUUUUUGUGCUUCUCACUCUUGAGAAGCAUAUUUUAGAGUAUAUCUUGAUCGAAAACAAGAUGAAAAGUACCAUAAAAUGCCGGGAAACUAGUGGCCCACUGACAUUAAUGACGUUGUAAAGAAGAAUGAAAAUGUUCUCUACAUACUCCACGAUGCAGUAACGCCUGAGAAAUUAACCCUCGAGCGACAAGAGAAGCCUGAAGCCUGCCAACAGUGCGACAACACUAUGGAUACCCUAUACAGCGGUGCAGUAAUUCAUGGUCUUAACAGGCAUGCCGCUGGGACAAAUGGCAUUUCAUCGGGUAUCGCUGGUGCGCUUGAUCAAGACGGUGUCCUCAGUCUUAUUGUUGUUCUCGGUGGUAGCCUAUCGUUAGUUGCCCUUGUAUUUGCAUUCAUUACGUACAGUUUAUUCUCGGAUUUACGCAGUUUGGCUGGUACAACCCUCAUGAAUCUUUUAGCAGCUCUCUUCAUGGUACAGCUUCUGUUCAUAGUUGGUGUU